rnacentral:rRNA from 1 species
CAGUCGCCGCGGGAAAACGAAGGGGGCUAGCGUUGCUCGGAAUGACUGGGCGUAAAGCGUGCGUAGGUGGUGGUUUAAGUCCGUUGUGAAAGCCCUGGGCUCAACCUGGGAAUUGCAGUGGAUACUGGAUCACUAGAGUGUGGUAGAGGAUAGUGGAAUUUCCGGUGUAGCAGUGAAAUGCGUAGAGAUCGGGAGGAACAUCAGUGGCGAAGGCGGCCAUCUGGGACAACACUGACGCUGAGGCACGAAAGCGUGGGGAGCAAACAGGAUUAGAUACCCCAGUAGUCCCUGUCUCUUAUAC